UACGUAGGGGGCAAGCGUUGUCCGGAUUUAUUGGGCGUAAAGAGCGUGUAGGCGGCCAGGUAGGUCUGCUGUGAAAACUCGAGGCUUAACCUCGAGCUGUCGGCGGAAACCAUCUGGCUAGAGUCCGGAAGAGGAGAACGGAAUUCCUGGUGUAGCGGUGAAAUGCGUAGAUAUGCGGAGGAACACCGAUGGCGAAGGCAAUCCCCUGGGCCUGCACUGACGCUCAUGCACGAAAGCGUGGGGAGCAAACAGG
rnacentral:rRNA from 1 species